CCUACGGGAGGCAGCAGUGGGGAAUUUUGGACAAUGGGCGCAAGCCUGAUCCAGCAAUGCCGCGUGAGUGAAGAAGGCCUUCGGGUUGUAAAGCUCUUUUGUCAGGGAAGAAACGGUAGUCUCUAAUACAGAUUACUAAUGACGGUACCUGAAGAAUAAGCACCGGCUAACUACGUGCCAGCAGCCGCGGUAAUACGUAGGGUGCAAGCGUUAAUCGGAAUUACUGGGCGUAAAGCGUGCGCAGGCGGUUAUACAAGACAGAUGUGAAAUCCCCGGGCUCAACCUGGGAAUUGCAUUUGUGACUGUAUGGCUAGAGUGUGUCAGAGGGGGGUAGAAUUCCACGUGUAGCAGUGAAAUGCGUAGAUAUGUGGAGGAAUACCGAUGGCGAAGGCAGCCCCCUGGGAUAACACUGACGCUCAUGCACGAAAGCGUGGGGAGCAAACAGGAUUAGAUACCCUGGUAGUCCACGCCCUAAACGAUGUCUACUAGUUGUCGGGUCUUAAUUGACUUGGUAACGCAGCUAACGCGUGAAGUAGACCGCCUGGGGAGUACGGUCGCGAGAUUAAAACUCAAAGGAAUUGACGG
rnacentral:rRNA from 1 species